GAUGAACGCUGGCGGCGUGCCUAAUACAUGCAAGUCGAACGCUUCACUUCGGUGAAGAGUGGCGAACGGGUGAGUAAUACAUAAGUAACCUGGCAUCUACAGGGGGAUAACUGAUGGAAACGUCAGCUAAGACCGCAUAGGUGUAGAGAUCGCAUGAACUCUAUAUGAAAAGUGCUACGGGACUGGUAGAUGAUGGGCUUAUGGCGCAUUAGCUGGUUGGUAGGGUAACGGCCUACCAAGGCGACGAUGCGUAGCCGACCUGAGAGGGUGACCGGCCACACUGGGACUGAGACACGGCCCAGACUCCUACGGGAGGCAGCAGUAGGGAAUUUUCGGCAAUGGGGGAAACCCUGACCGAGCAACGCCGCGUGAAGGAAGAAGUAAUUCGUUAUGUAAACUUCUGUCAUAGAGGAAGAACGGUGGAUAUAGGGAAUGAUAUCCAAGUGACGGUACUCUAUAAGAAAGCCACGGCUA
rnacentral:rRNA from 1 species